rnacentral:rRNA from 1 species
ACUUGCCCCGAGAUGAGUUCUCCCUGAGGUUUAGCGUCUCCUGAAGGAACGUUGAAGACGACGACGUUGAUAGGCCGGGUGUGUAAGCGCAGCGAUGCGUUGAGCUAACCGGUACUAAUGAACCGUGAGGCUUAACCUUACAACGCCGAAGCUGUU